AUACGGAGGAUCCGAGCGUUAUCCGGAUUUAUUGGGUUUAAAGGGUGCUCAGGCGGGGGAUUAAGUCGGCGGUGAAAUUUUGCAGCUCAACUGUAAAAGUGCCUUCGAAACUGGUUUCCUUGAGUGUGGAUGAGGUAGGCGGAAUUUGUGGUGUAGCGGUGAAAUGCAUAGAUAUCACGAGGAACUCCGAUUGCGCAGGCAGCUUACUAAACCAUAACUGACGCUCAAGCACGAAGGCGUGGGGAUCAAACAGGAUUAGAUACCCUGGUAGUCCACGCAGUAAACGAUGAUUACUGGCUGUUUGCGAUAUAAUGUAAGCGGCUGAGCGAAAGCGUUAAGUAAUCCACCUGGGGAGUACGUUCGCAAGAAUGAAACUCAAAUGAAUUGACGGGG
rnacentral:rRNA from 1 species